rnacentral:rRNA from 1 species
GUGGGGAAUAUUGGACAAUGGGCGAAAGCCUGAUCCAGCCAUGCCGCGUGUGUGAAGAAGGUCUUCGGAUUGUAAAGCACUUUAAGUUGGGAGGAAGGGCAGUAAGUUAAUACCUUGCUGUUUUGACGUUACCGACAGAAUAAGCACCGGCUAACUUCGUGCCAGCAGCCGCGGUAAUACGAAGGGUGCAAGCGUUAAUCGGAAUUACUGGGCGUAAAGCGCGCGUAGUUGGUUCAGUAAGUUGGAAGUGAAAUCCACGGGCUCAACCUGGGAACUGCUUUCAAAACUGCUGAGCUAGAGUACGGUAGAGGGUGGUGGAAUUUCCUGUGUAGCGGUGAAAUGCGUAGAUAUAGGAAGGAACACCAGUGGCGAAGGCGACCACCUGGACUGAUACUGACACUGAGGUGCGAAAGCGUGGGGAGCAAACAGGAUUAGAUACCCUUGUAGUCC